ACAUAUACAUAGACAUAGACAUAUGCAUAUACAUAUACAUAUACAUAUACAUGUAUACAUAUAUAUGUGUGUGUGUAUGU